rnacentral:lncRNA from 1 species
ACAUCCUUAACCUCUUCAGCCCCCUCCGCCCCGGCUUCUCGGACUCCCACAGUUUCUGAGAGGACCGCCAUCACCAUCCCAGGAUCCCCAUAUCCCACCGACGAGGAACCCCACAGCACAACACAUCUCAGGAUGGGGCUCCAGCUGUGCCCCGAUGCGUUCAUUCAAGAGAGGAGAAUGAAUGAGCGUAAGGGGGCGACUUUCCUUCUGACAUUGCCCACCACCUGCGUGUUGGCUGUGCCGUGCCAGCAGCAUUUUGUCCUCGAGCUGUGAGUGCAGGUAUGCGUGCAUACGGGGGUGUGCAGAGAUGGUGCUGAACAUCAGAGCGUGCAUUGCGCGUGGCUGUGUGCACAGUGCUUGCAGGUGAAAGUUUUGCAUCUGUGUGCAUGCACAUGGCAGUGUGCAAGGCUGGAGCAGUGGUCGAGUCUUCGUGCUCGUGGUUGUGCAGAGGGAUGGGGUGCACACAUGUGAAAACAUAGCAGGCACUGCAAAGGAAACAGCUCCAUCCCAGCCACAACAGUGACAGGCAGGCAGGCACUGGGGAGGGCUGCACGGCAGAGGGACGCCCUCUGAGUGCCACAACCUGGAGCGCUGUCUGCAAGCAGAACAGUGCCGGAAUGGCAGCCUGGUGGUCCUAAGCUGCAGAGAUGCUGCUCUGGACCAACAGCCUGUCAUUUUUUCAGAAAAUGCCGUCCUUUUGCUGAACUUUGCUCGUUGUAAACCCCUCAUCACAGCAAAAAACGCUCGGUGCUGCCCUGGGAAACUCAGCAAUCUCCACAGCGUUGCUCUCCAAGUUUGCACGCUCAUGGCCAGGCUUUGUUCCCUGCAGCUCUUUGCACGUGCUUUGCAGACAGUCUGUUUGUGGGCAGUGCAAAGGACUGCUGCCUCCGUUGCAUCACUGGACGGCAGCAUUCGCUGACGGAGCUGUGGCAGUUCUGAGCGAGCGCCGCGAGACCAAUAACGAGGAGGUGGUGCAGCAGCUCUCCGAGUGCCGCUGGACAAAUCAGGCCGUGCGCUCUUUGUGAAUCUAUAAAUUUGACUGGUGUUUAUUGACUACGUUUGAAGGUGGAGUGCUGAGAUGGGCGGCACUCAGCGCUGCCCUGUAACGCCGCGCACUGCAGAAGCUGCUGCCUGCUGACGCUCCUCCUCUC